CUGGGCUGCCUGGGCUGCCCACUGCCACCGUGCUGACUGAGCAGAUGUUCUCCUGCCCCUUCUGCAAUUCCAGAGGCCCUGCCCAGCAGAGCUGGUCCUGCAAGAGCACAGAAGUUUUGGACACUGGCAUAGAGAGGGGAGAAAGUUGGUCUUUCCUCUGGAAACCCAAAGUCUCUUCUCCUCAGCAUGCAGUCAAGGUGAGAAUAAGAAAAGACCAUGGAAGAAAUGCUGCACAGCAAACACUGCAGUUGUGUUCCCAGCCACGCACCAAACUGCCCUCCUUGUUGCUGCCCAAGACAUGAAGAACCAGAGAAAUGGGAGGAGCAAAGGGAGCUUGCAGGAAAAACCAAGCAGAAAAUUCAGAAGAGAGAAGACAACUGAAAGCAAGGGUGGCAAACCUAUUCCUUUAUUAAAGAAUAAAUCUACUGCAACAAAGGAGAAAAAAAGCAAAAAUAAAGACAAGGACACAUCCUAACCCCAUUAAUAUCAGUAGGAAUUUCCCUUCAUCUUCAAUGAGGAACGAACUUCAAAGACACAGGAAUGACCCAUAAAAUCUAAAGGAUAAAAUCUGAAUCUUUUUGUGAUCUUUGACACAACCCCUGCUUAGAGGAUGGUAGUGUAGUCCUGACAUGGUGGAAAUAUCCCCAGCAGGAGAUUCACAUCCUGGCUUGGCCACAGCCUUGUCCACAGUGCUGCCAGGG